AGGCAGAAGAACGGGAGUCAUGAAAGAAGCUACCUUAAGGGCGUGGCCAGAAGAGGGGCAAUGAGCAGGGUGGAAAGUGAAAAAGGAAAAAGUCUGUAUUUGAGUGAGGAGCUGAGGUUGAGCAGGGACAGUAACCUGCCUGAAUGCCACUGUGGCCAAAGCCUGGAUCUGAAGCUGUCUGUUCUGCCCUGUCUUCUUUGCUGAAGUACUGCUCCAGUGAGGAGACCCAUCCCAGACUGUGGAGGGAACCUGACUUUUUCCCAGGGCUGACUUCUCUUCUUUUGGCUUCAGUUACUACUGUUCUGUAAGACUGAAUUCAAAAGGCCUCACAGAUUCCUAUCUACGAGACUGCUUUAAGUCUCAGUAGAUACUUGGGAGUUUGGACUUUUAACAGAAGUGGGACAGUUACGACUUGGAGGAUCCUUGAAGCUUGGCUAAAGGCUUUUGCAUUGUAAGAUGUGAACAUCUUGGGAGAUGAAUAGAAUCUAAAAUAUUUCCCACAGGCUUGUAUUUUAAACACUUGUGGCCAAUUGGUAGCAAUACUUGGAGAGGAUGUGGAACCUUUUAGAAACUGAGCCUGUCUGUCAGAAGUCACUAGGGGCUGGAAGUCACUGGGCGCAUGUCUUA
rnacentral:lncRNA from 1 species